GUGGGGAAUAUUGGACAAUGGGCGCAAGCCUGAUCCAGCCAUGCCGCGUGAGUGAUGAAGGCCUUAGGGUUGUAAAGCUCUUUCGUCAGGGAAGAUAAUGACGGUACCUGAAGAAGAAGCCCCGGCUAACUUCGUGCCAGCAGCCGCGGUAAUACGAAGGGGGCUAGCGUUGCUCGGAAUCACUGGGCGUAAAGCGCACGUAGGCGGCUUUCUAAGUCAGGGGUGAAAUACUGGAGCUCAACUCCAGAACUGCCUUUGAUACUGGAGAGCUUGAGUUCGGGAGAGGUGAGUGGAACUGCGAGUGUAGAGGUGAAAUUCGUAGAUAUUCGCAAGAACACCAGUGGCGAAGGCGGCUCACUGGCCCGAUACUGACGCUGAGGUGCGAAAGCGUGGGGAGCAAACAGGAUUAGAAACCCUUGUAGUCC
rnacentral:rRNA from 1 species